rnacentral:tRNA from 1 species
GCUCAGUUGGUUUAGUAUCUGACUUCCGCUCAGGUCAUGAUCUCCUGGUUCGUGGGUUCAAGCCCCACAUUGGGCU